ACCAAAUAAUAAUAAUUUAGAAAAGAAAAAAACUAAACACGUUCUCUUUCACAUACACUCAGAAAUACACCGCUAUCGAUAUAUCACGAAACACGAUCUUACAAAGAUUUCAAACUCAAUCUCGAUCUCGUCGAUUUCAAACUCAAUCUCGCCGAUCGCAAUCUCGAUCUCGCCGAUUUCUAACUCAAUCUCGCCGAUCACAAUCUCGAUCUCGCCGAUUUCAAUCUCAAUCUCGCCGAUCGCAAUCUCGAUCUCGCCGAUUUCAAUCUCAAUCUCGCCGAUCGCAAUCUCGAUCUCGAUAUCAAUCUCAAUAUCGCUACUGAUCACGACCUAGAUCUGACUCUUGUUACCGAUUUGUAUGGUUUGUUUUCUUCGAUUUCGCUUUCCAAUCUGCGUCACCCACCGAUCUGCGUAAAGUCUCCUAUCUUCACUAUGUUUUUUGGUUGAUUCAUGUUUAUCAAUAUUUUUCGCUUAAUCCUAUUUAUCGACAUGGCUCGACAGCUAUUUUCAGCAAUGCAUCUAUUUCUUCUAUAUGAUUUUGUUGGAAUUUAAUUAGGGUUUAACUUUAAUUGAUGUUAAUUAUAUUGUUGUUCAAUCAAAGAUUUCUGUAACGUUUGAGUGGGUAUGCGAUCAAAUCUUUGUUCACAUUGCUCAAUUCACAAGGCCAGACUACUCAUAUUGAUUAUCUCUACGCAUCAGAAAAACUGUGAGUAUUUCCAUCGUCUUCCAUAUCAGUAUAUCAACUAUUUUUGUUAUUUCGACUAUACGUUAAUUUGAUUAAUACAACAAGUGAAACUACAAAUUAGGAAGGGAGGGAGUACACAUUAGACUCAUCAAAUACAUUAUAUAAAAUGACAAAAUUAGUUGACAACAAACGAGAGUUUGUUGCGUCAGUGUGUUGAAUGAAUAUGCUAUAAAUGGAUUUAGAAUGUUGUGUUGUUUACAAUUUUUUGCUUUUCUCAUUGACAUGUACAGAGUUCCAAUGGAUUUGAAGACUGAAUCACCAGAUCUGAAGUCCUAAAUAGCUUUCUCUUUGGAACAAACACUAAGAUUCACUUGGUUUUGGAAUAUUUGUCUUAAUUUGAUGCUGUUUUGAUAUUAGUUCUUUCUUUUUUUUAUUUUAUUUUGAUGAUAAAGCAUAAUGCUUUGGUUAUGUUUCAAUUUUAAAUCUCUGUUCAUGUUUGUAAUAUUAAUUCUUCCAGGUUUCCAUAUGAAGAUGCCUUUUUUAACUCAGUUUGAGCAUGUCCAAGUGACACUUUAAGCCGACGAGGUGACAGAUAUACUAUGCGUAACAUUCCUCUACUUAAUUAUUUAUAACAACUCGACCGUGAUGUGAUACCAAGAUAUAUGAACAGUUGGCUUUGUAACUCGACCAACACCAGCUACUUUAUUAAGAGAUUAUUGGAUUAAAGCCUCUAAGAACUUGGUGUUGGCAAUCAUGGAAACACAAAAUACAGAGAGGUGGGACCCUUCGAUGUUCAUGCAAAUUGUGGAGAUGAUGUCGUUCUAUUUGACUCCUCCAGCCAAUGAGUUCUCACCGAUGAAUGGUGUGUCACCCUCGAGUUACUCCAACAUGGUUCUUCUUAUUACAUGUUUCAAGGAGGUUAAGCUGAACCAGCUAGCAGUUUCAAGGAGGUGAAGCUGAACCAGCUAGGUGUGCGAGAUUCAAAUUAAUAUAUAUACAGUAUAAAGGUGCUGUCAGGAUCUAGAAGAAGGUGGAGAUCUUCAUACUCUUAUUUUUGGUAAAUAACACAUUUGUUAUAGCUGUCAUAAGAUCAAAAGGAUGAGACUUGACUUUAGUAGCUUAAGCUUUAGCCAACUAUGAUCCAAAAGGUAAAGAAUUUUCUUCUCCUCAAGAAAAUGUUGAGAAGACGGAGGCAAGGCGGUUUGACUAAUGUGUUUAUUGGGCAUGUUGCCAAUGUUGGAGCCAAUUUUUUCAUUGAUUCGAUCCAUGCCAAAAGCACCCAUGCAAAGUGAAGUACCUGAAGAAACUCAUGGAGAUAUAAGGUGAAAGAAUGUUUUCCAAUCUAUUUUGGAAACCGGAGUUAAUAUAGAACCUGAGAUGUGACUUCUGAAUUGGAAAUAAAAUAGAAUAUUAUUGUAAUGUAUAAUGUUUUAGUAUUGUUAAAUAUAUUAAAAAAUUGAUUUUAGAAUAUUAUUGUGAUGUUUAAUGUUUCAGUGUUGUUAAAUAUAUUAAAAAAUUAAUUUUUUUGGUUA